GAUGAACGCUGGCGGCGUGCCUAAUACAUGCAAGUCGAGCGAACAGACGAGGAGCUUGCUCCUCUGACGUUAGCGGCGGUCGGGUGAGUAACACGUGGAUAACCUACCUAUAAGACUGGGAUAACUUCGGGAAACCGGAGCUAAUACCGGAUAAUAUAUUGAACCGCAUGGUUCAAUAGUGAAAGACGGUUUUGCUGUCACUUAUAGAUGGAUCCGCGCCGCAUUAGCUAGUUGGUAAGGUAACGGCUUACCAAGGCGACGAUGCGUAGCCGACCUGAGAGGGUGAUCGGCCACACUGGAACUGAGACACGGUCCAGACUCCUACGGGAGGCAGCAGUAGGGAAUCUUCCGCAAUGGGCGAAAGCCUGACGGAGCAACGCCGCGUGAGUGAUGAGGGUCUUCGGAUCGUAAAACUCUGUUAUUAGGGAAGAACAAAUGUGUAAGUAACUAUGCACGUCUUGACGGUACCUAAUCAGAAAGCCACGGCUAACUACGUG
rnacentral:rRNA from 1 species